rnacentral:lncRNA from 1 species
CAGAAUAAGUGGUGCCUGUAUUAGAAGAAUAAACUGCCACAUUCCAGUCCAUUCCAAGAGGGAAAAGGAGCCUUAUGCUGCCUCUACCUAUCCAUCUGAAAAUUCACCUUCAUAUGCAUAUUCCAUGGCUGGAUGAAGAACACCUUGGCACAGGUGAUGCAGGGGAAGGACAGACUAUCGCAUUCUGAAUCAAGAAAAGUAUAACAUACAGGAAGAUGUGCUGCUUUUUUUUUUUUUUCCUGUUAUCUCUUUGAACAUCAAACUCACUUCCCUGCAUUCCCCUUCCUUUACUUAAUAUCAGAGUGGCCCUCAAGAAGCCAUUGUGCUCUGUGCCUCUGGGUGGUGUUUGGUACAAGCUGAAGAAAAUUAAACUUUCGUGGCAGUAUAAUUCAGUGUCCUGUCACUGCACAGCUCUGUGCAUGGAUACCAGGCUCCAGCCAUUCCCUGCAGUGUGGCCACUCUGUCAUUCUGGCCAUUUCCCCUCACAUGGUCAUGGUCACACAUGGUCACACAUGGGUUAGUGACCUAAACCAUGAGUGCUGUUGUAACAAGCAGGCAAUUUAGACAUUCAGAGAAAUUAAGGAGAGGCAUGUCCCAGGACUGGGGACUCUAGGCUGAGACUUCACAGCCACUAAUUAAAGAUCAUAAGGUUAUUGUACUUUUCUAGUUAUAACUAAAUACUGGCUUAAUUUCUGCCUUCUAAUUUAUGUCCUUUUGUGUUUUAGGUAUACGUCAUACACGUGUCUAAUGCAAUUUGCUGCAAUAUAUUUAUCACAUUAUGGAAGAGUGUUAUCUUCAUCAAUUACAAGCAAAAAAAGGCUCCUAGAAUUAAUAAGGGGAUAAAAGCUAAAUUUGUAUUUCAGUGGACUCUUGAAGGCUUAUCUCCAUGGGAAAGCUGUAUGUAAAUCUGCAGUGUUUCAUCUGGCUUAUGUUAAGUCCUACGUUUGGAUUUCAAUUCUAUGGUAGAUGUGACAUAAUGAUUUGCACCAAUUCUCCUCUUUUUAAUCUGAAAAUGACUGGGCAUGUAGUGAUGAGAACAGAGAGAACAAUUUUCCUGGAGAAAGGUGUAUUUCCUUCAGCAUUCCUUUGGCUGGGCCCAUGGUCAUUUUGUUGGAUCCAUCAUUUGUGCAUGUCUGCUGACCCAUCACACUGCUUGUGACAAACUGUGCUCUCAUUCUCAAUUAGUGUUUUAAUGAAAUUAAUAGCACUGGCAUAGCUGCAUGGUCAAGUGCCACUCCAGAGUGAAGCCUGUGAGCCCUUUUAGUGCAGCAGAAAGGGGAGAAAUGGCAGGUUUGGGUCCAACUACAUAAAAAGUUGAGAAGAUGACUAGAACUAUUCAGGCAUGAAGAAAAUAGCAUGUGAAGGUUUCUGGUGAUGUGUGUCACAGAAUCAUAGAAUCACAGACUCAUAGAAUGGCUUGGGUUGGAAGAGACCUUAAAGAUUAUCUAGUUCCAGCCCCAUUCCCACUCCCCACGGGCAGGGAUGCCAUACACACAUCAAGUUGCUCAGGUCCCCACCCAACCUGGCCUUCCCCAUGUGUUUGAAGAUGGAUGUUUGUGCAGAUGCCACAAAAGCAGAGAGCAUCCAUAGUGUUGGCCCCAAGAUGCUUUGAGGAAUGGUGUUAGGAGGUGUUGCUGCUCUCAGGAUGCUCAGCAAGGUUCACUCAGGCUCUGGACUCAAGCAGUCACCACCUCCCUGGCUGGAUGGGAAGGAAGACAGCAGCUCUGGGUAAGAUGAGAUUCAAAAGGCAGUGGCUGAGAGUUUUCACUGGUGUCUGAAAGCAAUGUCUGAGAGAUAAACCUAGACUGACUGCCAAACAUGCUCAGAAAGCCUGUUUCAUGGUGCUACCAAGAGACUUAAAUCUCCUGUGUUUACUGUGGCUACCAAACAUGUUGCAGGCAUUCCAUUCUCACCUGUCAUGUAGGAUGCAAGCUGUGACUGUGCAUGUGGCUAUCUCUGCUGUGUAGCCAAAUGCUCAGCCUUGUUCUAGAACUUGCACAGAGACUUCCCAUCCUGACCUUGCACUUCUCAUGCCCCACAACCCUGCUGAAGUUGUUCUCUCCAGUAUAACACAGAAAGAAAUAAGAGAACCUGGUGGAGGCAGACUGGCUGGAGAAGCAAGGUUGGGGUUGCAAAGAGGAUUCUGGGUUUGUUUAUCCUGUCCUCUGUGUGGAGAAGGGAGAGCACAGCCACAGUGUGUGCUGUAGCUCAGGCCUUGACACCCCAUUUGGAUGGGCUGGCAUCAGCGAUGUUUCCCAGCAGAAACCCUGAGCUCCUCUGUCCCUGGGCAGGGUGAGGAUGCUUUGGGCAGAAGCUGCGGGUCAGCUGCCUCCAGCCAGGUGUAAAGAAAGGGAAGGGGUCAGAUGGCUCAUGCUGCUUAACCCAGUGCUUCAAUGAAAAUUGCAGAGAAGUGAUUCAGAAAAACUAAAGGAGAAGAUGGGAAUUUGAAGGCACGGGAUAACUACUCAUCAUCCGCCCUUUCCCCCAUUCAUCAGCCCUGCACUCUCUCCUAGAGGGAGGGGGCCUGUGGACAUCUUGGAGGGCGUUUGCAAACACACACACACAUCCUCCCCUCCCCCACAUUCCUUUUUAUUGCCUCACUUCUACCUGUAAUGAAAAAAGGUCCCUGCUGUGGUCAGACUUUGUGCUGUUUGAUUUAAGCACAGAUCACAGUGAUGAGGGCUUACUGAAGGCCUUUUGUGUGUGUUUAACACUACAGCUGCCAAGGUGAAGAGAAAACCCAGUAGACUAAGCAAGAUGCUCUAAAUACUAAUAAAGUCUGAGGGAGAUUGGAAGGAGUGGAAAUG